GUGGGGAAUCUUGCGCAAUGGGCGCAAGCCUGAUCCAGCCAUGCCGCGUGAACGAUGAAGGCCUUCGGGUUGUAAAGUUCUUUAGCCGAUGAUUAUAAUGACUGUAGUCGGAAAAUAAGCCCCGGCUAACUUCGUGCCAGCAGCCGCGGUAAUACGAAGGGGGCGAGCGUUAUUCGGAAUCACUGGGCGUAAAGCGUGCGUAGGCGGUCUCGUAAGUUAGGAGUGAAAGCCCAGGGCUCAACCUUGGAAUUGCUCUUAAUACUGCAAGGCUAGAAUCUCGGAGAGGAUAGCGGAAUUUCCAGUGUAGCAGUGAAAUGCGUAGAUAUUGGAAGGAACACCAGUGGCGUAAGCGGCUAUCUGGACGAGUAUUGACGCUGAGGCACGAAAGCGUGGGGAUCAAACAGGAUUAGAAACCCUAGUAGUCC
rnacentral:rRNA from 1 species